rnacentral:rRNA from 1 species
AACGCGAAGAACCUUACCUGGAUUUGACAUCCUUCGACAACCCUAGAGAUAGGGCUUUUGUAGCAAUACAACGGAGAGACAGGUGCUGCAUGGCUGUCGUCAGCUCGUGUGGUGACAUGUUGGGUUAAGUCCCGCAACGAGCGCAACCCUUGUCUUUAGUUGCCAGCAUUCAGUUGGGCACUCUAAAGAGACUGCCGUGGUGAACACGGAGGAAGGUGGGGAUGACGUCAAGUCCUCAUGGCCUUUAUAUCCAGGGCGACACACGUGAUACAAUGGUCGGUACAGAGGGAAGCCAAAGCGCAAGCUGGAGCCAAUCUCAAAAAGCCGAUCUCAGUUCGGAUUGGAGUCUGCAACUCGACUCCAUGAAGUUGGAAUCGCUAGUAAUCGCGGAUCAGCACGCCGCGGUGAAUACGUUCCCGGGCCUUGUACACACCGGAGUA